GACGGCCUGAUGAGCAAGGGUUCCUCGGCACUGUCAAUCAGCCGAGGGUUAGCCGAUCCUAAGUCCCCCCGUAAGUCGACGGGGACAACGGGAAACUGGUUAAUAUUCCAGUGCCAUCACGCAGUAAAAGUCAACACCGCGGAAAACAUCGAGCCGGGCCUUCGCCCGGUCGAAUCGGAGAAGCUCGUGGACGCCGUCACGGCAGGAAGCGAGCGAAGCCCGAGACAGUGCAAGUCGAUGGUAUCCGGGGUCCGUGAAACGACGAGCGUGAUGAUCGUACCGAGAUCCGACACAGGUGCUCUCCCAGCGAAAGGGAAGGCCCGUCGGGAGAACCGACGUUAGGGAAUUCGGCAAGUUAGUCCCGUACCUUCGGAAGAAGGGAUGCCUGCUUUGGAGAAAGCAGGUCGCAGUGACUCGGGCGCUCCGACUGUCUAGUAACAACACAGGUGACCGCAAAUCCGCAAGGACUCGUACGGUCACUGAAUCCUGCCCAGUGCGGGUAUCUGAACACCUCGUACAAGAGGACGAAGGACCCGUCAACGGCGGGGGUAACUAUGACCCUCUUAAGGUAGCGUAGUACCUUGCCGCUUCAGUAGCGGCUUGCAUGAAUGGAUAAACGAGAGCGCCACUGUCCCAACGUUGGACCCGGUGAACUGUACGUUCCAGUGCGGAGUCUGGAGACCCCCAAGGGGAAGCGAAGACCCUAUAGAGCUUUACUGCAGGCUGUCGCUGAGACGUGGUCGCUACUGUGCAGCAUAGGUAGGAGCCGUUACACAGGUACCCGCGCUAGCGGGCCACCGAGGCAGCAUUGAAAUACUACCCGGUAGUGACUGCGACUCUCACUCCUGGCGGAGGACACCGGUAGCCGGGCAGUUUGACUGGGGCGGUACGCGCUCGAAAAGAUAUCGAGCGCGCCCGAAGAUCUCCUCACCCGGGUCGGGAACCCGGGGAAGAGCGCAAGAGCACACGGAGGUCUGACAGUGUCAUUCCCAACGAGUGACGCUGACGCGAAAGCGUGGUCUAGCGAACCUACGAGGCUCCGGAAUGGGGCCCGUAGAUGACAGAAAAGCUACCUUAGGGAUAACAGAGUCGUCACCCGCAAGAGCACAUAUCGACCGGGUGGCUUGCUACCUCGAUGUCGGUUCCCUCCAUCCUGCCCGUGCAGAAGCGGGCAAGGGUGAGGUUGUUCGCCUAUUAAAGGAGGUCGUGAGCUGGGUUUAGACCGUCGUGAGACAGGUCGGCUGCUAUCUAUUGGGGGUGUGAGGUACCUGACGUGAACGGUCGUAUAGUACGAGAGGAACUACGAUUGGUCGCCACUGGUGUACCGGUUGUUCGAGAGAGCAGAUGCCGGGUAGCCACGCGACACGGGGUAAGAGCUGAACGCAUCUAAGCUCGAAACCCACAUGGAAACGAGGUACCGUAGAGGUCCCGCCUAGAAGAGGCGGUAGAUAGACUCGGGGUGUACGCACCAAGGCAACGAGGUGUUAAGCCCACGAGCACUAACAGACCAAGCC
rnacentral:rRNA from 1 species